GAAGGUAUAGCUCAGUGGCAGAGUGUGUGCUUAGCAUGCACGAGGGCCUGGGUUCAAGCCCCAGUACCUUCU
rnacentral:tRNA from 1 species